UACAGAGGGGGCAAGCGUUGUUCGGAAUUACUGGGCGUAAAGGGCGCGUAGGCGGCCUGUUAAGUCGAACGUGAAAUCCCCGGGCUCAACCCGGGAACUGCGUCCGAUACUGGCUGGCUUGAAUUCGGGAGAGGGAUGCGGAAUUCCAGGUGUAGCGGUGAAAUGCGUAGAUAUCUGGAGGAACACCGGUGGCGAAGGCGGCAUCCUGGACCGGUAUUGACGCUGAGGCGCGAAAGCCAGGGGAGCAAACGGG
rnacentral:rRNA from 1 species